rnacentral:rRNA from 1 species
UACGUAGGGGGCAAGCGUUGUCCGGAAUCAUUGGGCGUAAAGAGCGUGUAGGCGGCUCGAUAAGUCUGCUGUGAAAGUCCAGGGCUCAACCCUGGAAGGCCGGUGGAAACUGUCGGGCUAGAGUCCGGAAGAGGCGAGUGGAAUUCCCGGUGUAGCGGUGAAAUGCGCAGAUAUCGGGAGGAACACCGAUGGCGAAGGCAGGUCUCUGGGCCGAUACUGACGCUGAGGAGCGAAAGCGUGGGGAGCGAACAGG